GAGUUUGAUCUUGGCUCAGAUUGAACGCUGGCGGCAUGCCUUACACAUGCAAGUCGAACGGCAGCACGGGAGCUUGCUCCUGGUGGCGAGUGGCGAACGGGUGAGUAAUGCAUCGGAACGUAUCCUGGAGUGGGGGAUAACGUAGCGAAAGUUACGCUAAUACCGCAUAUUCUGUGAGCAGGAAAGCGGGGGGACCUUCGGGCCUCGCGCUCUUGGAGCGGCCGAUGUCGGAUUAGCUAGUUGGUGAGGUAAAGGCUCACCAAGGCGACGAUCCGUAGCAGGUCUGAGAGGAUGAUCUGCCACACUGGAACUGAGACACGGUCCAGACUCCUACGGGAGGCAGCAGUGGGAAUUUUGGACAAUGGGGGCAACCCUGAUCCAGCCAUGCCGCGUGAGUGAAGAAGGCCUCGGUUGUAAG
rnacentral:rRNA from 1 species